UCUGUACAACAGACCCCCAUGACACAAGUUUACCUAUGUAACAAACCUGCACUUGUACCCCUGAACUUAAAAUAAAAGUUUUAAAAAAUUGCCUUUUAAAAGUUUGUGGUCUAGACAGGAAGACCCAGCUGAUAGAUACAUACGUAAUCAUAUAUGAUUAUAUUACAAUGUGAGAAACAUAGUACAAUGAUGGAAUUAUGCACAGAGAAUCAUUACAGCUCUGAGGAGGUGUUGAAAAUAUUCUCAGGG
rnacentral:lncRNA from 1 species